AGAGUUUGAUCCUGGCUCAGGACGAACGCUGGCGGCGCGCCUAACACAUGCAAGUCGAACGAGCGAGAGAGAGCUUGCUUUCUCGAGCGAGUGGCGAACGGGUGAGUAACGCGUGAGGAACCUGCCUCAAAGAGGGGGACAACAGUUGGAAACGACUGCUAAUACCGCAUAAGCCCACGACCCGGCAUCGGGUAGAGGGAAAAGGAGCAAUCCGCUUUGAGAUGGCCUCGCGUCCGAUUAGCUAGUUGGUGAGGUAAUGGCCCACCAAGGCGACGAUCGGUAGCCGGACUGAGAGGUUGAACGGCCACAUUGGGACUGAGACACGGCCCAGACUCCUACGGGAGGCAGCAGUGGGGAAUAUUGCACAAUGGGGGAAACCCUGAUGCAGCGACGCCGCGUGGAGGAAGAAGGUCUUCGGAUUGUAAACUCCUGUUGUUGAGGAAGAUAAUGACGGUACUCAACAAGGAAGUGACGGCUAACUACGUGCCAGCAGCCGCGGUAAAACGUAGGUCACAAGCGUUGUCCGGAAUUACUGGGUGUAAAGGGAGCGCAGGCGGGAAGACAAGUUGGAAGUGAAAUCUAUGGGCUCAACCCAUAAACUGCUUUCAAAACUGUUUUUCUUGAGUAGUGCAGAGGUAGGCGGAAUUCCCGGUGUAGCGGUGGAAUGCGUAGAUAUCGGGAGGAACACCAGUGGCGAAGGCGGCCUACUGGGCACCAACUGACGCUGAGGCUCGAAAGUGUGGGUAGCAAACAGGAUUAGAUACCCUGGUAGUCCACACCGUAAACGAUGAUUACUAGGUGUUGGAGGAUUGACCCCUUCAGUGCCGCAGUUAACACAAUAAGUAAUCCACCUGGGGAGUACGACCGCAAGGUUGAAACUCAAAGGAAUUGACGGGGGCCCGCACAAGCAGUGGAGUAUGUGGUUUAAUUCGACGCAACGCGAAGAACCUUACCAAGUCUUGACAUCCUGCGACGAUGCUGGAAACAGUAUUUUCCUUCGGGACGCAGAGACAGGUGGUGCAUGGUUGUCGUCAGCUCGUGUCGUGAGAUGUUGGGUUAAGUCCCGCAACGAGCGCAACCC
rnacentral:rRNA from 1 species